rnacentral:rRNA from 1 species
GUAGGGAGCGAGCGUUGUCCGAAGUUACUGGGCGUAAAGCGCGCGUAGGCGGGUUAUUAAGUGAGAGGUGAAAUUCCGGGGCUCAACCCAGGAACUGCCUCUCAUACUGAUAGUCUUGAGUGAGGUAGAGAGAAGUGGAAUGGCUGGUGUAGCGGUGAAAUGCGUAGAUAUCAGUCGGAACACCGGUGGCGAAGGCGGCUUCUUGGGCCUUUACUGACGCUGAGGCGCGAAAGCCAGGGUAGCGAACGGGAUUAGAUACCCCGGUAGUCCUGGCCGUAAACGAUGGAUACUAGGUGUAGGGGGUAUCGACCCCCCCUGUGCCGCAGCUAACGCAUUAAGUAUCCCGCCUGGGGAGUACGGCCGCAAGGUUG